UUGAGGAGCAGGAGAAGAGGCAGCGUGUGCCCUGUUUGCAGGGCUGAAGUAACACCGAGACGCCUCGCUGGAAACGGAGGAGAGCGGAUGGUGCCCUGCCACAGUGAAGGGCUGUACCAAGAUCAACGCUACCUGGGCCACAGAAACCGGCACGCAGCUAUGGAUUUGUUAUCAACUGGGUGAAAGCUCCUGUCAGAUAUGCUUCAUACAACCAGUUGCAGCAGCAAAAGCUCUAGUUUUUCUAGAACAGAAACUCCACUUUCAUCUAUGGCACCAUCAAGAGACAAUGGGAUUUGUCAUGCCAACGCUAAACCGAGACUAAGCUUCAACCCUUUAUGUGGAUGGAACUGUUUGUUGAAAAAGGAAGCUGCAAUACUGAAAGCAGUCAGUGCUUGACUGCAUGAGACCAUGCCUCUAACAGAAGGCAAAUGAUGUCUUACUUAAAAAACUUUAUGAAAUGCAAACUUAGUUAAACCCUUUCACUCAGUUAAAUCCUUUCAAGUGUCUUCUCCAAGGCAACAAUAAACCAGUGUUUGACUUUUCUUAGAGCUGUUACUUGAAUAAUUGAGGAGGGAAAGCUAAGGUUCCUACUAAGGUGUGUACAAGAUGUCUUGCUCUCCCUUCAGAUUAAGAUUUUUAGUUUGAUUUACUAUGAAGACCACAGGGGUCAACUUAAGGAAAAAAAAAAAAAGGCAAAAACCUUCUUUUAGCAUAGUGGAUUUUUUUCCUCAUAGUAGCAGAAGUGCCUUUUUAGAUACCUGGUGAACUAAAACUUGACAUGUAGCUGUUUCAUAGAGAACAAUUUUUUUGUUCACAGCUAGAAAUAGGUACCCUCUGAAAAUGUGAAGUUGUCAAUAUAAAAGAAUGCAACAGCAAAGUAAGCCAAUAAUGCAUAACUAUCACUAAAACAGUAGAAAAAUAACUGCUUACAAAGGCAAACAGUGAACUGAUUUUAAUUAAAUUAAGCAAUACUGGUGCAGGCAUUCGGAGUGCUCACAACUGUAUCUUCAACUCUAUACUGCUGUAGUAAGGUGUGCUUCAGGUUGUUAAACUUGUGUGCUUUCAUAAUUUAAAUAACAUAGAUUGAAUAUUUUUCUUUAUAGUAUAUGCAUCUGUUUUGGGUUU